rnacentral:lncRNA from 1 species
CAUAUUAUCACUUAAUUAUUUUGUUGUAAAGCAUCCACCAUGAAAUUACAGGUUCAGUUAAAAAGAUACAUAUAGGUUUGUUAUCUCAUUAUAGUCUGGCCUCCUCUUUCUAAACUUAUUGAGAGUCUGAAACUAUGUAACAAGUCUUACAAAAAAUACUAUGUAGUAUUAUAUAAGUUGCGUUACUCAGUUACCCACACUAUAAACAAAAUUCACAGUCGC